rnacentral:rRNA from 1 species
GGCUCAUUAAAUCAGCUAUGGUUCCUUAGAUCGUACAUACUACAUGGAUAACUGUAGUAAUUCUAGAGCUAAUACAUGCCACUAUGCCCUGACCCGCAAGGGAACGGGUGGAUUUAUUAGAACAGAACCAACCGGUUGUGGCUUCGGCUGCUUCCGUUGCACUCUGUGAUGACUCUGGAUAACUUCACUGAUCGCAGUCGGCCUUGUGUCGGCGACGGAUCUUUCAAAUGUCUGCCCUAUCAAUUUUCGAUGGUAGGUGACCUGCCUACCAUGGUGAUAACGGGUAACGGGGAAUCAGGGUUCGAUUCCGGAGAGGGAGCCUGAGAAACGGCUACCACUUCCAAGGAAGGCAGCAGGCACGCAAACUACCCAAUCCCGGCACGGGGAGGUGGUGACGAAAAAUACGGAUACGGGACUCGUAUGAGGCUCCGUAAUUCGAAUGAGUACAAUUUAAAUCCUUUAACGAGGAUCAACUGGAGGGCAAGUCUGGUGCCAGCAGCCGCGGUAACUCCAGCUCCAGAAGCGUAUAUUAAAGUUGUUGCAGUUAAAAAGCUCGUAGUUGGAUCUGGGUCGUAUGGCUACGUGCCGUUGCUCGCAUUCUCGGCUUGGUUUCGACUAGGUCAAGUUUGUGGGUCGGUGUCGUGGCUGUGCAGCCUUUCUCCCGUGUCUGUUUCGACAGGUGCUGAUUUAAUCGAUGGGCUUGUCUCGUUGGUUGGUUGGCA